rnacentral:rRNA from 1 species
GCAAGUCGAACGAGAACUAGAGCUUGCUCUAGGGACAGUGGCAGACGGGUGAGUAACGCGUGGGAACAUACCUUUCAGUAGGGGACAACAGUUGGAAACGACUGCUAAUACCUUAUACGCCCUUUUGGGGAAAGAUUUAUCGCUGAAAGAUUGGCCCGCGUUGGAUUAGCUAGUUGGUAGGGUAAUGGCUUACCAAGGCAACGAUCUAUAGCUGGUCUGAGAGGAUGAUC